UACGUAGGGUGCAGGCGUUAAUCGGAAUUACUGGGCGUAAAGUGUGCGCAGGCGGCGCCGCAAGUCGAGUGUGAAAGCCCCGAGCUUAACUUGGGAAUUGCGCUCGAAACUAUGGUGCUGGAGUGUGGCAGAGGAAGGUGGAAUUCCACGUGUAGCGGUGAAAUGCGUAGAGAUGUGGAGGAACACCGAUGGCGAAGGCAGCCUUCUGGGCCAACACUGACGCUCAUGCACGAAAGCGUGGGGAGCAAACAGG
rnacentral:rRNA from 1 species